UCCGGUUUGUCACCGGCAGUCUCCCUAGAGUGCUCGGCCGAACCGCUAGCAACUAAGGACAAGGGUUGCGCUCGUUACGGGACUUAACCCAACAUCUCACGACACGAGCUGACGACAGCCAUGCAGCACCUGUCUCAGCGCUCCCGAAGGCACCCGCCGAUCUCUCGGCAGUUCGCUGGAUGUCAAGACCUGGUAAGGUUCUUCGCGUUGCAUCGAAUUAAACCACAUGCUCCACCGCUUGUGCGGGCCCCCGUCAAUUCAUUUGAGUUUUAACCUUGCGGCCGUACUCCCCAGGCGGUCUGCUUAUCGCGUUAGCUGCGCCACCGAGGCCUCAAGGACCCCAACGGCUAGCAGACAUCGUUUACGGCGUGGACUAC
rnacentral:misc_RNA from 1 species